AGUUCGGAUUGGAGUCUGCAACCCGACUCCAUGAAGCUGGAUUCGCUAGUAAUCGCGCAUCAGCCACGGCGCGGUGAAUACGUUCCCGGGCCUUGUACACACCGCCCGUCACACCAUGAGAGUCGGGAACACCCGAAGUCCGUAGUCUAACUUUCACGAGAGGACGCGGCCGAAGGUGGGUUCGAUAAUUGGGGUGAAGUCGUAACAAGGUAGC
rnacentral:rRNA from 1 species